AGCUCUGAGUGCUGUCUGCAGCCGAGCGCUGGAAGGAGCUCGCCCUGGCCCAGAGCAGACUGCGGUCCCGUCUGAGCUGACCUGACAGCGUGUUUUCACGUACCACCAAAGUGGCGGUAUUUUUCCCGGCAGCACAGAAAUGAUGCAUACUUAGCAGUCUGAGAGGGAGAUCAUCGCUGAAGAUUACCCUCAAAGGCAGACACCCUGAGCAACUUCAGGCUGGUCUGGACAUGCAGGAUUUGAAGCAGAGAAAGGUCUUUUGGGAUGAACAGUCUGUUCAUAAACCCCACCCAUCUGGGAUCGAUCCCUGCAACAUCAUGGAUCACUGCAACCUCCAUAAACUCAAUGCUCUCACUGCAGGAAACUAUUAGCAUAUUUCAGCAAAGAUUCUUGCAGCAGAAAUAUGCCACAUGGUGAUAAUUCUUUUCAUCAGAAGAAUGAAAUUGGAAGUUUGGGCCACUCCGGUUCAUGACGUUAUGUAUCCAUAGCUUCUCUCCUUGAUGAUUUUCCCCUUAGUUCAUAGGCUCAGGACAAGAAAUGCAUACAUGAAUUUUAUAGAAAACAGGGGUAUUUGCUAUGACAAACCUAACGUGCUGUAUUAAAUUUAUUAGAAAGAUCCCACAUAGAGGCCUCUCAAGAUAUAAGCUCAAUCUGUGGCGUUUAUUACCAUGGAGAAAGUGUCUCUAGAGCGGGCGAAAAAAUUGGUGCAGAAAUAAAUUGGUGCAGAAAUAAAUGGGCUGAUGUCUGGGUGUGUAGGGAAAAAACCCAAACCCUAUUUUCCAGGUAGCAUUCUAUGGAAGCUACCAAUAGCAUGGCCACCUAGUACUAUGAAGCAAUGUAGCAAAGGGCUUACACCGGUUAAGAUCAAAAUGUGGCAGCCAGUGCUUACAUUAUGCCACAAAUUUUCCUACUGUGCAAGUUGAACCUUGGUGGAAUUAAAAAUGGAUACAUGAGCUUAUCAGAGGUACCAGAUGAUCAGCUUCUAGAAUAUCAUCUUUCCUUUAUCACAGUCCUAAAGAUCUCUUAGACCAACAAAUCUAAAUUUUAAAAAGAUAAAUGAAAACCCUGACCACCUGGCUACUUCUCAAGGCCCAGAAAGGACUUGUUCAUCUUUUAUAACAAAGCAGCAUAACUUCAGAAGAAUUUUCCAGUCACAUGGUACUGCUCUCACUCGAUUUGCACCAGGUGAUAAAAAAACCUGCUGAAAGAGUGAGUGGUGAAGGGGUGGCAAUACAGAGGGAAUUUUACAGGAAAACAAAGACAGUGCCUUACAAGUAUAUUUUAAAAAUUAAAUUGGAGAGGUGAAAAAAAUUUACAUAUGAAAAAAAUAAAACUGUUUAAUUGGGUCAAUAGUCAUAGGUUUUACACUGGGAUUUAUAAUCAAUGAACUGGGGGGAAAAACAACCCUCUGGAGAUCACCAAUAAAGUUACCGGAGCACUUGUAAGUUUCAUUUCCUUCGGAAGUGUGCUCAUUCAUACCACAUUGUCAUAGAGACGUUUAAAAAGUGUUUUCCGGCCAUUUUGUUGCUCCACUGAAGGACCUGGGAGACCAAGUACUGGGUUAAGAGGAGAUGUAAAAGUUCCCGCCCACUUUACCUUCCUCCGCCCACUCACCAGGUGAAAGAACCCUGUUAGUUCUCUCUCCCAUACAAGAGUUCCUGGAAAUGCCUUUUGUUGUAAAACAAUGACUACUGCCCGCCUCCCAUCUCCCUCCCCCCUCCCCCCCAAGCUAGGAGCCAAGUGACAGGCAAAGUCCAGCUUUUAAGGAUAAACCCCUCAGGCUUAUCCUGGGCAGCAGGGGAAGACAGCAAGCUUCCGAUACAAUGGAGCAUCUCAUUUGAGGUACAGUCAUCCCCUUACCCGCAGUUUCUGUUUCCAUAGUUUCAGUUACCUGAGGUCAGCGUCGGUCCAAAAAUAUUAAAUGGAAAAUUCCAGAAACAAGCAAUUCAUACGUUUUAAGUUGCACACCAUUCUGUGUAGUGUGAUGAAAUCUCGCAGUAUCCUCUCCGUCCUGCCGGGACAUGAAUCAUUCCUUUGUCCAGCGCAUCCACGCUAUAGACCCUCCUUGGCUGUUAGUCACUCAGGAGCCGGCUGGGUUAUCAGAUCGACUGUCUCCGUAUCACAGAGCUGGCGUUCACGUCGCCCUUAUUUUACUUAAUAAUGGCCCCAAAGUGCGAGAAUAGAGAUGCUGGCAACUCAGAUAUGCCAGAGAGAAGCCGUAAAGUGCUCCUUUAAAUGUAAAGCUGAGAACAGCACAAUAAGAUAUUUUGAGAAAGAAAAAUUUACAUAACUUUUAUUGCAAAAUAUUGUUAUAAUUGUUCUAUUUUACUAUUAGUUAUUGUGGCCCAUCUCUCUGUGCUUCAUUUCUAAAUUAAACUUUGAUGUAGAUAUGUAUGUACAGGGAAAACACGUACAGCAGACCCUUGAAUGAGCUCACUUUGUUCAAUGCUGUUACAAUGUUGAUGAGAAAAGAACUCGAUUCCUGGCCAGGGCCACUGUCUGUGGCGUGUGCACUUGCUCACCACAAUUGCGUGGGUUUUCUCCGGGAACUCCAGUUUCUUCCCAUAUGCCAGAGAUGUGCACGUGGGUGAAUGGGCGUGGCUACAGUGUCCCCUCUGGUCUAAGUGAAUGUGCCCUGCGCUGGAAGGGGUCCCGCCUGAGCCCUGAGCUGCUGGGUUGGGCUCCAGCUGCCCACGACCAUGAACUGCAAUGGAAAAUAAUGAUCUUACUUGUUUUCGUUAAUUUUUCUUAAAUGUAUGUGUAGCUCACAUUCAUUUCAACGUUUAAUAUUAGAAUGUCCUUUCCGCUCGGAACCGCCAUCUUCCAGUAAUUUGCCAAAAUGACCAACACACAGGGAAAGAGGGGCGGCCCCACUGCAUGUUCUCUAGGCUUUUCAGAAAACAUGGAGCUGUUCUUUGGCCACAUACAUGCGAAUCCACAAGGUGAUGUUGUGGACAUCAAGGGAAUGGGCGCUGUUCAAAAAGGAAGGCCCCGCAAAUGUCACCAGGGCAAAACUGGAGGAGUCUACAUGUCACCCAGCAUGCAGCGGGCAUUGUUGUGAAUAAGCACCUUAAGGGCAAGAGCCUUGCCAAGAGAAUUACUGUGCGUAUUGAGCAUAUUAAGCACUGUAAGAGCCGAGACAGCUUCCUGAAACGUGUGAAGGAAAAUGAUCAGAAAAGGAAGGAAGCCAAAGAGAAUGGUACCUGGGUUCAACUGAAGCACCAGCCUGCUCCACCCAGAGGAGCACGCUUUGUGAGAGCCAAUGGGAAGGAGCCUGAGCUGCUGGAACCCAUGAAUUCAUGGCAUGAUAAGUGUAAAAGAAAAAAAAGACAU